GGGUCAGUAGGUUGGUCGUGCCACCGGUACGUACUGGUCUGACUGAUUCCUCCUUCCUGAAGAACCGUAAUGCCAUUAAUUUGGUGUUGCGGGGAAACAGGACUGUUACUUUGAAAAAAUUAGAGUGUUUAAAGCAAGCUAACGCUUGAAUACAUUAGCAUGGAAUAAUGAAAUCGGACGAUCGAUCCUAUUUUGUUGGUUUCUAGGAUUGACGUA
rnacentral:rRNA from 1 species